rnacentral:lncRNA from 1 species
UCAAAAAGAUCGCCCCCACCCCCAAACUGGUUUAUCGCAAGUUAUACUGAACAUCUCCCAAGUCGUUGCUUUUCCUUGAUCUUCUCACUUCGUUGGAAUAUUGUGGUAAUUAUUUUUCUUUCUUAUCUUCUACUGCUUCUACGAGGGCUUCCAUCUUUCAUAGGAUAUUAGGUUCCAAUAUUCAACACAUCAUCAAAAAGUGAAAUAUUAAUCGUAAGUGAAAUAGGGUAUUAAACCCAAAGAUAAUAGUAGCAAUUUAUUCUUUUCAAUUGGAUGCCCUCCGAGGGGACACAAAUUGCACAAGUUUCCAUUAAUAUCAUAAGGAGGGAUUUAGGGAUCAAUAUAGAGACGGUUGCAAUUUCUAAAAAUCAACUUCAAGUUUCCAUUAAUAUUUUUUACAUUUUCCUUUGAACUUCUUGUUUUAAACUUUAGUUGGGUUUUAUUGGUUUUAGCGUAGUUCUGAGUUAAAGUUAUGAUUUUUUUUGAAGUUUUGAGCUAUUUGGUUAAAUGGGUUGGUUAUUAUUUCUUGAAAUAUUUAGUUGUGCUUCUUGGUUUGUGUAUUACGUGGGGUUUUGAUUAAUUUUUUUUUCCUCCUAGAGUAAGAGAUGAAAUUUCCACUCCCAGAGAAAAGCCAUGAUUUUCUUUGGAUUCUUUCUUUAUCUUUACAGAAAAUGAAGGAUUACAGCAGCAGAAAUUAAAUACUUAGCAAGUAUCAUUUGAUGUGUUAUAACUUCAUGUUUCACAAUUUUUGAGCUAUUCUCAGUUAUACUUUUUCCAGGCAUGUAAAAUUUUCAAGGGACAACGAUACACCAAUAGGCUGGUCGAAAAGCUAAUUACUGUGCUUUGAUGGAGAUCACAUGUGAAAGACCAAGACAUCAUGAAAAUUCGAUUUUGAUGUAUUUAUCAGUGAUACCUACCUUUACUCUACUGAUGGAAUCACUGCUGCAUAUACAAACAUAGCAAACUGGAUUAGACUGAGAUAGUAGGCCUUGAAUUAUUUCGAUGUAAAUUUCUUCAAUUCAGACUGAGUCAU